UGGGGGAUAUUGCACAAUGGAGGAAACUCUGAUGCAGCAACGCCGCGUGAAGGAUGAAGGUCUUCGGAUUGUAAACUUUUGUACUUGGGGACGAUAAUGACGGUACCCAAGCAGCAAGCUCCGGCUAACUACGUGCCAGCAGCCGCGGUAAUACGUAGGGAGCAAGCGUUGUCCGGAUUUACUGGGUGUAAAGGGUGCGUAGGCGGCCAUACAAGUCAGUUGUGAAAACUAUGGGCUCAACCCAUAGCCUGCAAUUGAAACUGCGUGGCUUGAGUGAAGUAGAGGUAGGUGGAAUUCCCGGUGUAGCGGUGAAAUGCGUAGAGAUCGGGAGGAACACCAGUGGCGAAGGCGACCUACUGGGCUUUAACUGACGCUGAGGCACGAAAGCAUGGGUAGCAAACAGGAUUAGAUACCCUGGUAGUCCAUGCUGUAAACGAUGAUUACUAGGUGU
rnacentral:rRNA from 1 species